GGAAGCUGAUUGGGAUUCUGGGGAGCUAAGCCAAGCCUUUGUCCCUCCUAAUCUGCCCACUCUGAGUGAGAGAUAGCAGUGCCAACCCUUAGAAAGGUGCCAGUUGUCUUCCUAAAUGCAUUCAGAUUUUCAGGCUGAAGGUGUGGGGAUAGGCCAGUCUCCAGUUCUCAGUUUAAUUUUGCUUCCAGGGGUGUUGUGACCUCCUGCCCACGGAGCUUUGCGGGGCUGUGCAGCUGCACAGGGCCGGGAUGUCAACACUGGCAUGCACAGCUGCCAGCAUUGCUCACAGGUCAAGCUCCCAAAGUUAUGAGACAGUCCAAGAGGGGGAGGGAGAAACCUAAAGCUUGGAAAAAGGCAGGGGGGAAGAAAUGUCUGAAGCUUAAGUGCUUGUGGCAGUUCCUAAACUAUGGCGAGAGGUGCUCCUGUCUCUGCAGUCCAGUUCCAAACCAGGGUUCAACCAAGAGCCAGGCUUCAUUCCCAACUCCACCCUCAGCUCCAGCAAGGCCAGACCAAUUCUCCCAGCACUUGACAAAGCAGAUCUAUCCCUGGGAAGAGUUUUUCCAGCAUGCUGGGACAAAAAUCUGGCAACGCCUCUGGACAGCUUUAGCGAUCAAAACACUCUGGGGCCUCUCGUUUGUUGGGGAGAAAAGAGAUGCAGGAGGAUGGAAGAGGCUGUGGAGGGAUCAGCUGCUGGGCCAUGUCAGGGAUCCAGUGCCUGUGGACCAGUCUAAAGCUUGGCUCCAUCAUUCAGGGCACAGGUGGAGCAGCCCUUUGCCUGAAUGGCAAGUGGUCUACAAUUUCCAACCCUGCUCUCCAGAUUGUUGGAUGUGAAACCAGAAUCAGCCCUGAAAUGUUGCUAAUUCCAGCAUAAAGCAAUCAAGAGUUAAUCUGCAAGUUCUCACUCAGGGAAAUUACCCUGUGCCAGCAGUGGGCUCCUGACUUGUGCACACAGGUGGAAAUGACUAACUCCUUCCAAAGGACGCUGGUGGAGAACAGCUUAUUUAUGUCUCUUGCACAGCUGGCCAGAGCCUGUGCAGGAAAUGCAGGUGAUUUAUCAGAGGCUGUUCACAGGCACGGAAGAUGGGCUUCCUGCACAGCCCAGGGGCUCUUCCUUUCUUUUAUUUCCUCUUCUUUUUCACUCUUCCCUGUUUAUGAGGGUUUCAAAAAUUCCUCUCCAAGGGUUCCAAUCAUGUUGCUGUAAAAUUACUGAUUCCUGUCAUAUUUAACAAAGUGCUCUGCCCCUUCCAAUGCAUUUUUUUCUCUGUGUUUCUUCACAUCUCUCCCAGUUCACAGCCUGCAUCCUUCAUCAGUCACAGCUUUGAGCUAAAUGCAGCAGAAAACCACAUGAACUAUGUGGUGAUGAAAUGAAUUCAGUACACACCAUAAAUCUCAAAGAAAGUCCUAAAAGCAUCACACAUCACCUACUGCACAUAUCCAUUGUCAGUAGGAUCCCACAAUCCUGAAUUUAAAGGUUUUCUUCUUG